rnacentral:rRNA from 1 species
AUUGAACGCUGGCGGCAGGCCUAACACAUGCAAGUCGAACGGUAGCACAGAGAGCUUGCUCUCGGGUGACGAGUGGCGGACGGGUGAGUAAUGUCUGGGAAACUGCCCGAUGGAGGGGGAUAACUACUGGAAACGGUAGCUAAUACCGCAUAACGUCGCAAGACCAAAGUGGGGGACCUUCGGGCCUCACACCAUCGGAUGUGCCCAGAUGGGAUUAGCUAGUAGGUGGGGUAAUGGCUCACCUAGGCGACGAUCCCUAGCUGGUCUGAGAGGAUGACCAGCCACACUGGAACUGAGACACGGUCCAGACUCCUACGGGAGGCAGCAGUGGGGAAUAUUGCACAAUGGGCGCAAGCCUGAUGCAGCCAUGCCGCGUGUAUGAAGAAGGCCUUCGGGUUGUAAAGUACUUUCAGCGGGGAGGAAGGCGGUGAGGUUAAUAACUUCACCGAUUGACGUUACCCGCAGAAGAAGCACCGGCUAGCUCCGUGCCAGCCGCCGCAGUAA